rnacentral:rRNA from 1 species
CCCGCUGAACUUAAGCAUAUCAAUAAGCGGAGGAAAAGAAACCAACAGGGAUUGCCUCAGUAACGGCGAGUGAAGCGGCAACAGCUCAAAUUUGAAAUCUGGCCUCUUCGGGGUCCGAGUUGUAAUUUGUAGAGGGUGUUUCGGGCGCGAUGCCGGUCUAAGUUCCUUGGAACAGGACGUCGUAGAGGGUGAGAAUCCCGUAUGCGACCGGCGAUCAAGCCCGUGUGAAGCCCCUUCGACGAGUCGAGUUGUUUGGGAAUGCAGCUCAAAAUGGGUGGUAAAUUUCAUCUAAAGCUAAAUAUUGGCCAGAGACCGAUAGCGGACAAGUAGAGUGAUCGAAAGAUGAAAAGCACUUUGGAAAGAGAGUCAAACAGUACGUGAAAUUGUUGAAAGGGAAGCGCUUGCAAUCAGACCGGUCCGGAGGCGAUCAGCCGCUGCUCGUCAGCGGUGCACUCGCCUGCGAUCCGGCCAGCAUCGGUUUGGGCGGCGGGAUAAAAGUCCCGGGAAUGUAGCUUCCUUCGGGGAGUCUUAUAGCCCGGGUCGCAAUGCCGCCCGCCCGGACCGAGGACCGCGCUUCGGCUAGGAUGCUGGCGUAAUGGUUGCAAGCGACCCGUCUUGAAACACGGACCAAGGAGUCUAACAUCUAUGCGAGUGUUUGGGUGUCAAACCCAGGCGCGGAAUGAAAGUGAACGGAGGUGGGAACCCGUCAGACGGCGCACCAUCGACCGAUCCAGAUGUCUUCGGAUGGAUUUGAGUAUGAGCAUAGCUGUUGGGACCCGAAAGAUGGUGAACUAUGCCCGGAUAGGGUGAAGCCAGAGGAAACUCUGGUGGAGGCUCGCAGCGGUUCUGACGUGCAAAUCGAUCGUCAAAUCUAGGCAUAGGGGCGAAAGACCAAUCGAACCAUCUAGUAGCUGGUUCCUGUCGAAGUUUCCCUCAGGAUAGCAGUAACGUUUUCAGUUUUAUGAGGUAAAGCGAAUGAUUAGAGGCCUUGGGGCUGAAACAGCCUUAACCUAUUCUCAAACUUUAAAUAUGUAAGAAGUCCUUGUUACUUAGUUGAACGUGGACAUUUGAAUGCACCGUUACUAGUGGGCCAUUUUUGGUAAGCAGAACUGGCGAUGCGGGAUGAACCGAACGCGAGGUUAAGGUGCCGGAAUGCACGCUCAUCAGACACCACAAAAAGUGUCAAUUCAUCCAGACAGCCGGACGGUGGCCAUGGAAGUCGGAAUCCGCUAAGGAGUGUGUAACAACUCACCGGCCGAAUGAAUUGGCCUUGAAAAUGGAUGGCGCUCAAGCGUGCUACCCAUACCUCGCCGCCAGGGUAGAAACGAUGCCCUGGCGAGUAGGGCAGG